rnacentral:misc_RNA from 1 species
CCAAUAGCGUAUAUUAAAGUUGUUGCAGUUAAAAAGCUCGUAGUUGAAUUUCGGGAUCAGUUGAUCGGUCGUGCCUCGGUACGUACUGGUCAAAUUGAUUCCUACCUUCUGACGAACCACGAUGUCAUUAAUUUGGUGUCGUGGGAAAUCAGGACUGUUACUUUGAAAAAAUUAGAGUGUUUAAAGCAGGCUCGCGCUUGAAUACAUUAGCAUGGAAUAAUGAAAUAGGACGUUUGAUUCUAUUUUGUUGGUUUCUAGGAUCGACGUAAUGAUUAAUAGGGAUAGUUGGGGGCAUUAGUAUUCAAUUGUCAGAGGUGAAAUUCUUGGAUUUAUUGAAGACUAACUACUGCGAAAGCAUUUGCCAAGGAUGUUUUCAUUAAUCAAGAACGAAAGUUAGGGGAUCGACGACGAUCAGAUACCGUCGUAGUCUUAACCAUAAACUAUGCCGACUAGGGAUCGGAUGAUGUUAAUUUUUUAAUGACUCAUUCGGCGCCUUACG